UACGGGAGGCAGCAGUAAGGAAUAUUGGUCAAUGGACGCAAGUCUGAACCAGCCAUGCCGCGUGGAGGAUGAAGGUCCUCUGGAUUGUAAACUUCUUUUAUUUGGGAAGAAAUGCAUUUUUUCUAAAGUGCUUGACGGUACCAGAUGAAUAAGCACCGGCUAACUCCGUGCCAGCAGCCGCGGUAAUACGGAGGGUGCAAGCGUUAUCCGGAUUUACUGGGUUUAAAGGGUGCGCAGGCGGAUAUGUAAGUCAGUGGUGAAAUCUCCGGGCUUAACCCGGAAAUUGCCGUUGAUACUAUAUAUCUUGAAUGCUGUGGAGGUAAGCAGAAUAUGUCAUGUAGCGGUGAAAUGCUUAGAGAUGACAUAGAAUACCUAUUGCGAAGGCAGCUUACUACGCAGAUAUUGACGCUCAUGCACGAAAGCGUGGGGAUCAAACAGGAUUAGAUACCCUGGUAG
rnacentral:rRNA from 1 species